UACAUUGUUGUCCUGUUUGCAUUGAUCCG
rnacentral:piRNA from 1 species